rnacentral:snRNA from 1 species
AUUGCUUCUCGGUCUUUUGGCUAAGAUCAAGCAUAGUAUCUGUUCUUAUCAACUUAAUAUUUGCUACGUCCUCUAUCUGAGGACAAUACAUUAAAUGGAGUUUUGGAUCCAGCAGAUGGAAUAGGAGCUUGCUCCAUCUACUCCAUGCAUUGACUUGGUAUUGCAGUACCUCUAGGAACGGUACAUCCCUA